rnacentral:misc_RNA from 1 species
GUUCGAGCGUCAUUUCAACCCUCAAGCUCUGCUUGUCUUGGGCCGCGCCGGCAACGGCGGGCCUCAAAAACAGUGGCGGCGCAUCGUGUCCCUCAGCGUAGUAAUUCUUCUCGCUGCUGGUGCCCGGUGGCCGCUGGCCAGCAACCCCAAAUUUUUCUAUGGUUGACCUCGGAUCAGGUAGGGAUACCCGCUGAACUUAA